rnacentral:rRNA from 1 species
GACGAACGCUGGCGGCGUGCCUAACACAUGCAAGUCGAGCGGGGUUGAAGCGAGGGGUAACUCAAGCUUCUACCUAGCGGCGGACGGGUGAGUAACGCGUGGGCAACCUGCCUCAAGGUCUGGGAUAACAGCUCGAAAGGGCUGCUAAUACCGGAUAUGCCUAUGGCCUCGCAUGGGGCUAUGAGCAAAGGGGAAACCUGCCUUGAGAUGGGCCCGCGUCCCAUCAGCUAGUUGGUGAGGUAACAGCUCACCAAGGCGACGACGGGUAGCCGGCCUGAGAGGGUGACCGGCCACACUGGGACUGAGACACGGCCCAGACUCCUACGGGGGGCAGCAGUGGGGGAUCUUGCACAAUGGGCGAAAGCCUGAUGCAGCGACGCCGCGUGAGCGAAGAAGGCCUCGGUUGUAAGCUCUGUCUGGAGGGACGAAGGAAGUGACGGUACCUCCGGAGGAAGCCACGGCUAACGUACGUAGCCAGCAGCCGCGGUAAAGUC